rnacentral:tRNA from 1 species
GCCCUCCUAGCUCAACUGGAUAGAGCACUGGAUUUCGGCUCCAGGGGUUACAGGUUCGAAUCCUGUGGAGGGUACUA